CGUUCCCGGAGGCUGCUCCCUGCCGUGAUCCACUGGUUUGGCCCUCUGUCACAAGAGGUUGCCUUUGAGAUCCCCCCGCCCCCGGCCUUGGCGAGUCGGGAUGUGUCCCCAACGGAGGUGCCUGUGACCUACACAUGUGUCUCCAGGAGGGUCUGGCUGGUGGUCGCCUGUGCUCUGGAGGCCUGGGGCCAGUGACUGGGACCAGGCCCUCCGCCGAGGGCAGGACCAAGCUCUGUCUGGUGCACCAAGGAGUGACCCAAGGAGCAUGCACGUAGUUUCUGGGAAGAGGGUCGGGUAGGCUGGGCUUGGGGAAGUCCGUGGGUUCCUUAUUCACUGGGGGUCGGCCUCACUCUGAUCUCAGAGCAGGUCUGUCCCCUUCUGAGUGACCCAGCAGAGGGGCUUGGAAGGUUCCAGCCCCAACCCUGGAGGGUCAGUGGCAGUGUUGGGCAGCUUGGUCUGCCUGGGGCUCAGCCCACCGGGUACUCGAGGCGGGAGGGGGAUGGUCUAGGCCCCACACCUGCUCUGCCCGUGAGGGCUGCUGGCCUUGCUUUGUGGACCAGUGAGGCUGGGAGCGGUCAAGAGCAUGGCUGAGGUCACUCAGGGGGUGUCUGGGCCUUGCUCAGUGGGCGGCAGACCCCCUGCGCUAGGCGUCCAUCCUUGCAGCUGGACAACCCCCUCCCCGACCCAGGGAUGAAGAAAUGGCGAUGUUUGGGGUGAGGCGAGUGGUUUACUUUAGUAAAUGAGCUCCAUGGUUGGACCCCACGUGGAGUCGGAGUGUCUGGCCGGUGAGUGAGGUCUCAUGCUGCAAGAGGUGCCUGGUGUCCCCUUUGUGCUGGGGACACUGCAGCGGACGGACGCACGGAAUGACUGCAGUCCACAUCCCCCGCCCUCAACCCCGAGCUAUGUCGAGGGUGAGGCAGACAGUCAACAGACGCUGCGGUCAGUGCAGCUGGUGGGGACACGGAGCCCCUCCUAGGAGCCCUGCUCGUGGGCAGAGCAUGUGUAGGUGGGCAGGGGCUGUGUGUGUGGGCAAUGGGUCUGGACUCGGGGCUGCGGAGGAAGGCGUGGAGCCUGGGGAGACGGGAGAUGUUGUUCUCGGCCAAGCCAUGCGCUGGACAAAGGUGGAGUUUCCAUGCUUGGGGCCGUGGCUCGAAUGGGGCCAGCAGCAGUGGGCAGAGAGUGUGCUGGAGGGGUGCAGACCUGCAGGGGCAUCCUGGGAGGGCGUGGUCUGGCUCCAAGCAGGGUGGUUUGGGAGGACGUUCUCCUUUCCCGAGGUGCCUGUGACAGCGGCGUGGUCGGCAGAACCCCUGGAGCCCCCCUCUCCCACAGCCAUGCCGGGUGAUCCUGGGGACAGCCUCUCGCAGGCGCCGAUGGCCGGCUGUUCUCACGAGGAAGCAGGAACGUGGGGGUGGACCCGGCCACACGUCAGCACUUUGGAGAGUUUUUUUUAUCAAGCAAUUAAAAAGUGGAAACUUGCCAGUGUCAUGAUGAACUGAAGUGUGAAUCCUGGAACGCCUCUGCUGGGUUGUGGUUUGAGACGAGAGAGUGACGAUGCCAAGCCGUGCUUCCCCCAGCCCCUGGCCCCCCACCACAGCCUAUUGUGCGGACUUGGUCCAGAAGUCGGGGGCCCUGGGCCUGGCACCCCUGCCCAGCCGUCCCCCCACCCAUCCACGUGCUGCUCCUUCCUGGGGAUCCCUGCCCUCUCCGGGGCUCCGAUGAGGGUGCCUAGCACCUGAUGCGGGGCCCGUGGGCGGCCCUUGCUCUUUUCUGAGUGGUCCUGGCUCUCUUUGGGGGCCCCCAGCUCUGCCCCCGCAGGCUCAUCCAGCCCUCGACCCUGGCCCUUGGGAGAUGCUGCCUGUUCUGGGAAUAUUUGCUAGAGGCAGAGGCCAGGACUGGAGAGGCAACCCCGGCCGGCUUUGGGGUGGGGGGCACACAGGGGCACAUGGGCUCCCUUGAGUCGUCUGUGGGGACAGAGCUCAAGGUGAAGGUCCCGAAACCACACUCCUGCCCCCGUUCGGCCACCGCCCUCGGAAGCCCCGGCUCUGUGUGGGCAGCUGUGCGUGCCAGCCUUUCUGCACUUCCCCAAUUCCCGCUGUCCCCGCCCACAGCAGCAGCUGGACUGCCUCGCAACCCCACCCUGGGCAGCCCUAACAAGCCCUGGGGGGGCCUCUUAAACCCCGGCAAGUAUGGCCUUCUGGGGGUGCUGGCCUGGUCUCUGUUUUGCAGUGAGCUGACCCGAGGGCUCAACCAGUGCUGGCCAACAGCUCACUUGCCAGGCAGAGGUCCCGGGGCCACAGGGCUUUGCGGCAGCCACUGGGCCUCAGUUCUCAC
ensembl:lncRNA